AGAUUGAAACAAAUAAGCUUGAAAUGUUUUAAAGCUACUACACAAUGUCUUCUUCCAAUAUACUCCACUUUCAUACAUUUUGAAUAUAUGAAAUGAUUUCUCAUUAAAGUCAUGAGAAAUAAUGGGAGGUGUGAAAAUGGAUAUAAACUUGAAUAUGAUUGGUUUAUAGUUGUCUAAAGAAUAAUAGUAUUUGACUAUUAUUAAGAGUUUGCAAUUUUAAUUGUUAAAAGACUCAAGCUCUUCAAAACGUUAAAAUUCUAUGUUGUGUGACAUUCUAAAGAAUAGUCUUUGAAUGUUGGUUUCGUCAACCUAGCAUAAAAUGGCUAUAUGUUGGGAGUUGUCCAUAAUUCUCUUUUAUGAGAACAAGCUAAAUAACCAAGCAUAUGGACAAGUUGAUGAAACAAAAGGGGAUAAGUUUCAAAAUGAGUCACAACCAAGGUAUUAAAUAUCGGUAAUAUCGGAAAUAUCGGUAGUCCGAAAACACGGAAAUAUCGAUGGAAAUAUCGAGAUAAUAUCGAUAUCGAUAAAAAUUACAUGGAAACCACGGAAAUUGUAAGAAAAACUUGGAAAUUUUUAUUG
rnacentral:lncRNA from 1 species